rnacentral:lncRNA from 1 species
GGGAGUUAGCAGAAUAUUGCAUGUUGCCAGAAGAGACCUCCCAUGGUGCAGUCUCCUUGUUCACAGCACGGAAGCUGCCAGAAUAGGAAACAGAGUGGGAAGACGGAGCAGUGGAGCGAGGGUGGCCCAGGACACGCGAGGGGCCCGCCAUAGCCAUCCAGCCUGGUCCUGAGACCUGAGCUGGAAUGUUGGCGUGAUGGUUGAAGCUGUAACAGCCAUCUUCGACUACAAAAUGGAAGCUGCAUGCUACAAAUGACAGAAGACAAGAUCAAAAGAACCUGUGUUCCCAGCACCACAGAACUGUCCCUAUGGAAAUAGACAUGACUGUUACAUAAGAAAGAAAUAUACCCUACUAUGUUUAAGCCUCUGUUAUUUUAGCAUGUGUUGUAGCAGUUGUAUACUAAGUAACUAAUGAGAAAGAAUAUUUUGUGCCCUGGUAAAGAUGGAUACUUCUAUAUGUUAUGAGAACAAUUUGAUGAGGCAGAAGCUGAUGACUUUGAAGCUGCAUUAUAGCAGAAGAUUGCCUGAAGAAUGUGACCAUUACUCUAGCUUCUGGAAAAUGCAAUCAUGAGGAUUCUCACUUAGGUCGUUUAGCUCCAAAGACAUGGCUCCCUAGGCCUGCAGUUUUUAUACUGGCUGCCAGUCAAUUUUAGAAUUGGUGUCAACAUAGAAAGCACUGCGUGGCCUUGGAGUCUCUGAUGUUGAUCCUACAGUCUGACAGAUCAGAUUCCGGGAUGAUGGGAUUUUGACUGUCUCUAAAUUUCAGGCAAAGUCAGAUGAGGACACCACAGGCAGGUGUUCUCAUACAUCCCUGGUUUUAGCUCUGUCCCUUUGAGUUUCAGUCAUUCGGUACAAAUUCAUAUCCUUUUAUGUAUUGUGGUUUAAAAUAUUUUUGAUUGUUUACUGCUUGUUAGGCUAUGUAAAAGGCCUAAUGAGAUAUACUAAGAAAAGUAAGGAUGUUGGGCUGUGCUAGAAAAACAAAGGACUUAUGUUUCAUGUUUUGGUUAACUGCAGAAAUAAAAGAGUUUAUGGAAUGGAGUACCUCCCAAUCCACUGGCUGGGGUCUAGUGCCCUCAUUUGUGCUCUGCUCACUAGGUUUCUAAAAAAAAAAUUAACUAGUGUUUUUAAUUGAAAAAGAGAUACAUGCCUUAGUCUGGGAAGCCACCUGAGGAAAAGCUGAAGUGCUACUGCUUACUUGGGAGGUACAAUGCCAAGGCAGCGGGAGCAAGGGAAGGGGUGUUGUGGCAGGGAAGGAUGGGAAGCAAACACCAGGUGGUGUGUUACUGCACAUAUACAUACAAGGUGACUGCUGUUCACAAGUGUGUCAGCCCCUUGGAAUGGCUCUGGACAAGAUAUGCAGAAACACCAUAUCCUGCAGCGGUCCAUGGAGGGAUGAAUGACAAAGACAUUUAUUUGUUGGUUCUUUCCCAUUUUCUGUCCUUCCAUAAGUUAAAGUUCACCGUAUGGGGUGUUAUUGGCCCUGUGCCCUCAGGUUGCAUCCCCUGACCGCUUGGCAGCUGUUGUAGAAGUCAGACUCCACAGGAUGUCACUUCAUCUGAAGCAGUGGGAAGAACCAGAGACUUUGACCAUUGAUCUCACUGGAGUGGACCAGAUGGGUGGGGCAAGUGAAAGAGGUCAAGGAGAGGGCUGAAGCUAGAGAAUCUGAGGUAGCCUAUAAGCUGGGUUCCCUACAGACAUAGUAAAACUUUCAGCAAUACUAAAGAGUAUACAAUAAAUACAUUUUCCUUCCAGCUCAGACCACCAAGUCACUGUCAGUAGUCUGCCCUAACAUCUUGUGUAUACCAAAUAUUCAUCUAUGUUUAUAAGAUCAUAUGUUACAAGAUUUUGCUGCUUGUAACAGAAACCCCACAUACGUGGCUAAAACAAGAGAGAAAUUUGUUGUUCUUUGUCAUGUAAAAGUCCGAGGAAGGCAGGAAGGCAGACUAAUGGCAACUCCCUGGUGAUCAUUCUGCUUCAUCAUGUUUAGCAUGUUUCUAUCCUCAAAGCUACUUUAUCAGAGAAAAAAAAAAGGGCAAAAUACUGUGUCUUCUAGCUGUGUUAGUCUCAUUUAAGCAGUUUUCUCAAAGGCCCUACACAACAAUUUUCACUUCAAUUUCACUGGCCAGCCCUAGCAGCAAGGGAGGCUCGGAGGUGAGAAAUAGAACCUUUUAGACAGGUAUUUUGCAGCCAAAUAAAAUCAGAGUUUAUUUAGUAAAAAUGAAGGAAAGGAUGAAUAUUGGGUAGACAACUAGCAGGUUCAUUUUACCCAAAUUCAACACCUUGCUUUUUUAUAAUGUAAUGUACUUGGAUAUUGUUCAAGAGUAAUGCAUGUAGAUGUACUUCAUUUAUUUGAAUACAUUCAUUGUAUUCUAUUGUGUGAAAAUACUAAAAUUAACAUGUUCUCUAUGGGUAGAUAUUUAAAUUAUUUCUGAUAUUUUGGCUAUUAUAAACAGCACUACAAUUAACAUUGUUAGACAUAUAUAUUUACUCAUUUGAAUAUGUAUUUCUAGGAUAAAUUUACAGAUGAGGAAUCACUAGAUUGAAGGGGCAACUGCAUUUUGAAUUUUACUAUAUAUUAUCAAACAGCCCUCCAAAGUGCUCGCAUUAAUUUGCAUUCUCACCAACAGUAUAUAAAAGUACCUAUUGUCUUCCACUGCAGAUAGCAAUGUGAGUUAUUGGACGUUACGGCAUUUUCCAAUAUGAUAAGCAAAAAUUACAUCUUAUCAAUUUGGUUUUCAUGAAUUGUCUCAUUAACCUUCUAAAUGAUCAUAGAAGUGGUCAAUUCCACCUAUUUCCUAGCCCAAACCAGUUUGGAUCAAUGGGUGUUUAUAUUACUCCACAAUUUUAUAGAAAGGGAGAUUUAGAUUUUCGAUGUGUAAUCCGUUCUAGUCAUGAAACAUUUUUUAAAAAGAACAGCUUUAUUGAGGUGUAAUUUACAUAUCAUAAAGUGUACAAUUUAGUGUACAAUUCAGAGGUUUUUAGUAUAUUCAUAGAGUUGUGCAACCACUGCCAUUAUAUAAAUUCAGGACAUUUUCAUCCUUGUAAAAUAAAUCCUGUAUCCAUUAACAGUCACUCCCAUUCUUCUCCCCUCCUUAUGUUCCUUGGAAAUUACUAAUCGACUUCCUCUUUCUAUGGAUCUGCCUAUUCUGAACAUUUAAAUAUAAAUGGAAUUAUACAAUAUGUGACCUUUAGUGUCUAACUUCUUUCACUUAGGAUAAUGUUUGUCAAGGUUCAUCCAUGUUGUAGGAUGUACUAACACUUCAUUCUUUUAUUUUAUUUCAUUUUUCAUUGUGGUAAAAUGUAUAUAAAGUAAUAUUUAUUAUCUCAAGCAAUAAAUAUACAGUUUAGUAGCAUUAAAUACAUUGACAGUGUUGUGUACCUAUUACCACCAUCCAACUCCAAUCUUUUUCAUCUUUCCAAACUGAAGCUUUGUACCCAUUAAACACUAACUCCCCAUUCUCCUCUCUGUGUGUAUGAAUUUGACUACUCUCUGUACCUCAUAUAAAUGGAAUCAUACAAUAUUUGUCCUUAUGUGUCUGGCUUAUUUCACUUAACAUAAUGGCAUAAUGUCUUCUAGACCAUUCAUAUUGCAGCACAUAUCCAAAUUUCCUUCCUUUUAGUGGCUCAGUAGUGUAUACCACAUUUUGUUUAUCCAUUAAUAUGUUGAUGGACACUUGGGUUGCUUCUACCUUUUGGCUAUUGUGAAUAAUAUUGCUAUGAAC